UACGUAGGGGGCGAGCGUUGUCCGGAUUUAUUGGGCGUAAAGAGCUCGUAGGCGGCUUGGCAAGUCGGGUGUGAAACCUCCAGGCUCAACCUGGAGACGCCACUCGAUACUGCUAUGGCUAGAGUCCGGUAGGGGACCACGGAAUUCCUGGUGUAGCGGUGAAAUGCGCAGAUAUCAGGAGGAACACCGGUGGCGAAGGCGGUGGUCUGGGCCGGCACUGACGCUGAGGAGCGAAAGCCAGGGGAGCAAACGGG
rnacentral:rRNA from 1 species